UACGUAGGGGGCGAGCGUUGUCCGGAAUUACUGGGCGUAAAGGGUGCGUAGGCGGCCGAUUAAGUUGGAUGUGAAAUCCCCGUGCUCAACAUGGGAGGUGCAUUCAAAACUGGUUGGCUAGAGUACAGGAGAGGGAAGCGGAAUUCCUAGUGUAGCGGUGAAAUGCGUAGAUAUUAGGAGGAACACCAGUGGCGAAGGCGGCUUUCUGGACUGACACUGACGCUGAGGCACGAAAGCGUGGGGAGCAAACAGGAUUAGAUACCCUGGUAGUCCACGCUGUAAACGAUGAAUACUAGGUGUAGGGGGUAUGAACUCCCUCUGUGCCGCAGCUAACGCAAUAAGUAUUCCGCCUGGGGAGUACGGCCGCAAGGUUGAA
rnacentral:rRNA from 1 species